rnacentral:lncRNA from 1 species
UCUGUCCAAAUGUUUUCCAAUGUCUGCAUCGAAUUUGCUACCCGGAUCUUCUUCUGUACCUGCUCAGGCGUUUGUUGCUUUGGUGGUAACAGGAAUUCAGGAGUUCUUAGCGUUUAGCCUGUUACUAAUUCCAAGAGGUUAGUAACAUAAUAAAGAACAAAUUCAGUCCAGAGACCCACCCAGCCCUGGCCAUUACAGGUGGACGGUCGGCUACGCCAAGGGCAGGUUUACAAUUCUGUAUUUGUGCUAUAAUCCUGGCAUGGCGUCUGCCAUCCGCUUUCUGUACAAGCAGAUGGGGGAGCUGCAGGGGCGUUGACACUUUACUGCCCCUCGGGCUUUUACAUCCUGCAACGGGGGCUGUUGGUUUUGAAUGUGGGGAACAGCUUCUGCUGCCGAGGAGUACGGACGAGCUGCUUUACACGGUUUUGUCACUAUCUUUGCAUGGCCUUUUCGUUCUCGCCCAAACCAGGAGAAAUUUCCCUUCUCCACUUACUGCCUGGCAGUGCUCCAGCUGCCCCAGCUUAAUCCUUCUGAAACAACCGGGCUCUUUACAGUCUCUUGCUUCACUACCAGCCUUUCCGCCACACGAAUCAGGCACUUGGCCCGUUGUACCAGAUCUACACGUCAGACAGCUUCGCCAGUGCUGCGGUUACGAACCACUGUAUUUAUUGAAACUUGAGUUGGAUCUACUACCCACGGCAGGUGUUUUAAUUCUCAAAGGUGCCUUUGCUCCUGUAUUAAUUAAUGUCAGGAACCAUUAUAUGUUUCCUUCUGUCCCCUGUUCCAUGGAAGAUUUACCAGUUAUGGGGGGCUGUAAUUGGGCUACUAACAUUUACCUCUGGGGACAGGGGUUGCUAAGGGCGAGGCAUUGUUACUGAAAUGUGGAGCCACCCUGACAGGGAACUGUUAAUUUCAUCUGAGCCAAUUCCGGGGAUAACGAGCCACAAGAACUCACCGGCAGAUCUCUGGGCCUGUUCCCACACUCCCCACAGCCUUAACUCCC